UAGAGGUCCACUUUGCUCAUAGUACCCUACAACAGGACCUCAAAUGAAUCCUUGAUAAUGAGACCUCUACUGCAGAGUGUGGGCUUUCCAGCCAGAAACUGCUUUAUCUUGAGUCAACUAAUUAACUUGACAAAGCUCUCAGUGCUUUAAAAACAAGCAACAUCUCUGAACAGCUGACAGCAUUUUAGAGAGAUACAUCUGGGAAGCUGCAAGCACAGAAAUACAUCUGUUUCCAUUGUUAUAGAAAGAUAAACAGGAUCAGACUCCAGACACUGUGGGAAAAAAGUUCUUGCUUGUCUGCUUACUGUUUACUGCCUUUCUGGAGGAAGAAAUGUCACGGAUGUGUCAAAUGCCAGGAGCCAUCAGAUAAAUGGAGAUAUUGGUUCACAAGGACCUUUUUGGAACAGAGAGUGAGACUUCCUCUCUGUUAACUCUGCUGGCUGCACAUUGGCCAAGUCCAGAUUGAAGACCUAUUAGUCAUGUCUGACUGGAAAGCACACACUGUAUCCAUGGCCUUCAAGAUUCAGAAGAGAUGAAAGCCAGUGGGUUUUUCACCAGCAGAGUAAAUAAAUGAGGACUCAACUCAGGAAAAGGACAACCUCUCUUAUGCUUUCCGACACGGCUGCCGGGCAUUCCGCAUUAAAUUGAAAGAGAGUACAAACGAUGCAGAAAAUAUGAUUGAGAUCACCCUAGGCAAGCAUGGCUUCCUUUCAAUGCAUGGAAAAGUUUGCAUAAAAGAUACGACUAGAGAGGAGAAAUGCUUCUCAAAUAGACCCAAAUUACCUGUCCUAUGGCACUGAACCUUUUUUAUAUACAUCCAUAUAUUUACUUAUUUGUGGGGAAUGCAAUAACCACAGAGUUCCUGUUUGCUCUAUUUCUUAGGGAUAAAGUUAUUCUGUGGUCAGAGACACCUAAGACCAUUAGGCACGCACACUACAGAUCUGAAGAAGGGCUUUUUACCCGAGCUUCCAGGAAAAAUAUUGACAAGGCAGUAAAAAUACUUUCCUUGAUUACUCAACCUCGUAUUUUAAACCUAAAAUUACAGGAACUUUUCUCUUUUAGUCAUUUAUUUUUAGCUUCUCUAUUUUUCCACCUUUUGGGUCUUUUUGGCUCACCUUUUCAAACAUGGUCUAUUUAUACUGACUCUGCAAAUCGAGGAAUAGCAAACCCUUUAAAGCAUUGUCACUGUUUCCCUCUGACUAGUUUUCAAGCUACUUGGGGACAAGUGAAUCUCAGCUUCUGGAGAUAAAUGGAUAAAGGAGAGUUU
rnacentral:lncRNA from 1 species